rnacentral:lncRNA from 1 species
UAGGUACAGAGAAUUUGACGGACGAGAUUAGGAUUGUGUGGGCGAAUUGAGGUAAGUAACCCCAGCACUGAUUUUAUUAAUUUAAAAAUUACUGUUUAAUUGUAAGAAUAAAAUAAUAAAAAAAUAUAUUUGUUAUGAUGUAUUUUCUUAAAAGUAGGAUCAAGCAUAUGAUUGCAUGUGAUUCAUAAGUUUGAUUAAAUUGCAUCCUUCAUAAAUAUUUCAGUAUAAAUUAUGGUUAUGAUAAAUUGCAUGAAAAUAAGAUUUGUGGCAUGAUUAUGAAUUUUAUACAUUACGAUGAAUUAUGGUUAUGAUAAAUCGCAUGAAAAUGAGAUUUGUGGCAUGAUCAUGAAUUUUAUACAUUACGAUGCCAUUUGUCAUUUUCCAACCUAUGUAUGAAAGUAUGACUAAUGAAAAAGAAUAAUGAUUUAUGAACUCUCAGAUAGCUAUGCCCACUUCUAGAAAUAGAGGUCAGUCGACCCCCCCUGGAGCUAGCAUCCCACGAAUAUGGCCCUCUGCCAACGGGUUAAAGUUGGUAACGAAUAUGAACAAGUUAUAAAACUCGUCGACUACGAAUACGAGCCCUGUCACGGGAUUAUAGUGACCAUAGCAGCACAUCCGUCUGAGAGUAAGAUUUAUAAAGUAUGGAUGAAUGGCAACAUUUUUAUAUGACUUGCAUUAUCAUGUUUACGAACUUGCAUGGUUGGAGCAUACAUUGGUUUAUGACCCAAUUUGAAUAUAUCAUCUCUGAAAUGCUUUAUUUUGCUAUAACUGUUAUAUUCUUCAAAUGAUGCAUUGGCAUGAGAAAGAUUAUGCUUGAUCUAAUAAGAUAGUACAUGGUUACUUACUGAGCCGCAAGCUCAUACCCCUCCUGUUGUUUUCUUUAUUUCAGAUAAUUAAGGCGAUUAAGAGCGAGAAAGAGUAAAUGAA